GACUGAACCCAGGGUGUACUAGAGAGCUAAAAAUGGCCCAAGAGUUAUUCCUCAUUGAAAUUAAAUGGACAGGCAUUUAUACUUCUACCUUUAUCAUUCAAGGUAUGUGGGCUAUCCCUGGAAGAGGAUGAUCUUGAACCAGGUGACUUUGCAGCUGAGGUGAUCUCUGAAGGGGAUGAGAUAAAGAAUGUCUAUGAAGAGCUCUUCCAGCAGCUGGACAACAAGUGUGCUUUUGAAAGAUUAAAUGAAGCUGUAAGCAUCUUUGAAGUACAAAUGAUACUUGGAAAGUAAAUGAAACUGGGAAUACUUGCAAGUAAAAUAUGGGAAGUCAAAGAGAUUAAAGGAUGAGAACCAGAAAUUGCUUAUGGCCAGUGUCCUGAGUAAGCCUCAGAAUCGCAUCCUAGAAGCAUCAAGUUCUUGUGUUACCCUAUGGAUCUAAAAAACGACUUCCUUAGUUUGAUGUAGUCUGCAGACAUCUCAUCAUCACAAAAACUUGAAAGCACUUACAGCACUAAGAAACUACCUUUGCAGAUUGUAAAAAAAGAUAGAAUCCUACUUAGUGUUUUGAUCACACCUGCCUAUUUCCCCAAGGUUUUACUGCAGGGUUAAAGAAUGAAUAAGCAUCUAGUUAUAUUUAAUAAACUCCAUGCCUUAUGGCUGAUUCUAAAGGCACAUGGCUUUGUUACAUUCGCUUGAAGCUCUGCUUUAUUUUCUAAAAAUGGUUGCUUACAGUGGUCCCUUGCAGCCCAUGGUGAUAGUUUAUAGGGUGCUAUGUUAUUUUUGUUUACUUGAGUGGAUAUUUAUACACAUGCCUCUUUAGAUUCAGGUGUUUUCAUUUUUUUUGUCAGGAGUUUGGUAUCCAUAUGCAGAAAAAUGCUGAUGAGUCAUUGCAUUUAUCUAUUGCUUAGAGAGAUGAUGAUGGGUCAUAAACCCAGAUAUUUAAACAAACAACCAGAAUAGUUUGUUACUUUCAGGCAAGAUUCCUGAUCGUUUUGUUGUUGUUGUUGCUGUUGUUGUUUUUCCUGCAAUGAAAGAGGCAGCAGAAGGGAAUCAGAUAAAUAACCCUCUCACAUAUCGUAUUUACUUGUAAUAUUGUUAUGCCAUCAAGUAGAACAAAAAUCAAUAUAAUUGCUUUAUAUUUAUCAAGUACUCACUCUGUGCCAGUCUUCUAAAUGCUGUAUGUGAAUUAAUGCAUUUAAUUCUCAACACCACCCUGUGAAGUAUCUACUCAUAUUUCCUGAUUUUUCCGAUGAGAUACUGAAGCACACAGUGUAUAAUAACUUGCUUGACUUCACAGUUGGUAAGUGGUAAAUCUGAGACUCAUGCCUAGAAAGUUGCGUUCCAGAAUCCACAUGGUUAACCACCAUGCUAUAACAGUUGACAUAAGCUGAAACCUGGAAGAGUAGAAUGGUCAAUUCUCAGCUUAGAGCAAUUUGUGAGUACUGUCUGACCAAACCAAUUAUUACAAAAUUUAUCUGGUUUAUAGCAAUAAUAAAAUACAGGAAUUGGUUACUGUAAGAUCUGGUUCUGAAAAAAAGAAAGCAAGAAAGAAGCCAUACAAAUUAAGAGAAAAAGAUGUAAAAAGUGAUAAUAAAUAUUAUAUACAUAUACACUAAUUGUAUAUCAUAUACACUAAUUGUAUAUUAUAAAUUUUAAAUGAUUUGAUUUUUUAAAUUUCAACACCAAAUUAUUAAAGCAGAAUUAUUAAAAUAGUAGAAAAUAGCUAAUGAAAUAAUUAUAAAAAUAUGAAAAUACUGCAUGAAAAAGCCACAUCAUUACGUGUUCACUGGUGAAAUCUUUAGAAGUUAGAAGAAAAAUAUAAUUAGCAUAUUACAUUGUCCAUUUCAAAUCAUGAAAACAAUGUGAGAUUAACAAAUUCAUCAUAUACAGUUAAUAUCUCAACAUCAAACUUGAUAAUUUAAUUAAAAUAGGAAACUUUAUACUGAUUUCAUACAUGUACAUAAUAAAACAUUCAGAUAGAAAUACUAACAACUAGAAUUAAACAUGAUGCAACACUACAGAAAGGGUUUGAUUCAAGAAUGCAAGUUACUAAAUCAAUAAAAAAUUAUUUUAUCAAUGAAAUAUAUGCUCAAAUGAGUACCUUAAAAGACCCAUCUCAAGUUUUAAAAUUGAGUUUAAUAGCAUUAGAAUGAUUUUUCUUUAUUAAAAUAUUUGAGAUAAAAUUUUUAUUUUGUUAUUUUUGCAAAUGUAUGGGAUACAUAAGAAUUUUUUUAUAUGCAUAUAAUGCUUUGUGAUAAGUCAUAUUUAGGGUGUCCAUCAUCCAAGCACAAUACAUUUUAAAGUAUAGUUAUCCUACUCUGCUAUCAAACAUUGAAUUUAAUCCUUCUAACUUACUGCAUAUUUGUACCCUUUAAUCUAUUUCUUCAUCGUCUCUGUCAGCCUUCAUUCUCCCCAAUCUGUGUUACCUAUUUUUCCACUCUCUACCUCCACAUCUUCAAAUAUUUUAGCUUCCACAUAUAAAUGAGAAUGUGAUAUUUGUCUUUUUGUGCCUGGCUUAUGAAAUCAAAAUUUUAAAACUUUGUCUUUAUAUUGAGAAAUGAUUAUAUGAUUUCUGCUUCACCAUUAUUAUUUAAUAUAAUUUAGAAAUUUUGUUCUCAUCAAUGAUAGAAGCCAGAAAUUAAAUUAGAAGUAAUAAAUGGUGGAAAGGGAGAGAUAAUCAUAUUAUAGGGAGAUGACAUUUUAUCCCUAGGAACCUAAAAAAAGUCAGCCAGAAAUGAGCUUGAAUUUAGUGACAUUGUAGAUAAUUUUAUAAAAGUCAAUCUGCCAGCAAUACUAGAUAGGAAUGAAAAUGAGCCAUAGAGAGUGGACAAGUAGAGAUGUGAGAAAUCCACAUUCUCUUGUAAUGGUUAGCACAGGCUUCCUGCAGGAUAUUGUCCUUGAACUGAAAGUUGAAUGGAAAAAGUAAUACGCUUCUUGAACCAAAAAAGGAAGACAUGCUUAGUAAGAGGGAAAACAAGUCAAACUGGCCAUUCGACUGGAUCUCUCUUUUCUUACUAUUGAAUUUUUUGGAGGUUUUGGUAACACUGCUCUCCUUUCUCUGACUUUCCUGUAGCAUUCUCUUCUGUUUAUUUUACACAUGAUACAUUCUAUCAAGUUCUGCACAGCACUCCUAUCUUAAUACUGUUGAACUUUAUAUUCAAUUAUUUGGAAUUAAUAAAUAGAUCUGUUAUUUUGUAAUUAAGUACAAAUGAGACACUGUACAUUUCUCUAAAUGUAACUCAAAGUUUUACAUUUUCUUCACUUUUAUGAGAGUCCUAGAUGAAUAAAUGAUAGUCUAUACUAUGAAUAAACAGGGCCUAGUUAUUCUUAGAAUAGUUUCAAUUUAAUUCUGUUACCACUCAUGGGUAAAAAUGCCUUCAUUUUUUUUUCUUUCCUGUUUUUGACACAGAGUUAAGGAUGAAUGAAUUGAAGAUACCUAAUAAUUAUUGUUUCUAUUUUUCCUACUUCAUAUAUUUAAAUCAGGUGAUACACCAAGUAACAUUAUUUUUCUCCCAUCUCUUUCAGGCAUAGAACAAUUUCUAAAGUAACAGUAAACGCUAAUGUUUAAAAUAAAUUGUGUGUGUGUGUGUGUGUGCAUGCACAUAUGUUUUAGCCAAGUAAGUGAACUGCAACCUGACUCAAUUCCAAAAAGAUUGUUUUGGAAACCAUUAAAAGAAAUCCAAGUACCAAGGAAGGCCUUCAACAUGGUCACAAGUCUCUAUCACUACUGUAUUUAUGUGGGGCCAAAUAGUGGGUGUUAUGGAGUAAAAAUUUUCUUUCCCCCUAAAUUCAUAUGUUGAAGGUCAAAACCCCAGUGUGACUAUUGAGAGAUAGGGCCUGUGAGGAGGUGAUAAAGGUUUAAUUAAGUGAGGCUCCAAUCCAACAGGGCUGGUGCCCUUAAAAGAGGAGAAAGAGACACUAGAGUGAUCGCUCUUGACCAUGUGAAGACACAGCAAACAGGUGGCAUGUGCAAGUCAGGAGGAGAGCCCUCACCAGAAACGAAAUCAGUGGACACCUUGACCCAUGAGCCACCAGAACUGUGAGAAAUAAACAUCUGCUGUUUAAGCCACCUCAUGUAUGAUAUUCGGUUAUGGCAUCCCAAGAAAACUAGUACAGUGGGAUAUUUUAAAACUCAGCUCUUUUAGGAAACACUGAACAAUUAAAAAGACAAAAGAGUAUGUGUCACACAAUAAUACUGUAUGUAUCCCAUACUAAGGUCCUAAGGGGACACAUAACUAUGUCUUUCAAGAAAAACCCCACCUACCAACUCAGUGAGUAGACAUGGACCCACUAAUAAAUAGAGCAGAGAUUUAAGAGAGGAUAGGGCUUAAGCUCUAAUGAAGAGUCACAAAGAUCACAAAUCCAGAAACAUUUUCACUUCUAAAUGGUUUACUGUUCCUUAAUUUGAAUUUUCAGUCCACAUAGACACAGCAUAUUAAAAUUAUGCACAACACACAUGCACCUACGUAGAGAAAGAAAAAGAGGGAGAGAAAGAAUAUAUGUGAUUGGACUUUUGGGAGAAUACACUUUGUGUCAAGCAUUGUACCUAUCAUCAAACAAAUACUAUAAGGAGGCAUCAUCCCUAUUUUUGAAGAUGAUAAACUGAGACACAAAGAUAUAACUUGAACAUGAUUCCACUAUUAUUUGUGAACUAAAUAACAACAAUUCAUUUUCAGUUAGAACAUGGAAGCCCACAACAAUAAAAAUGAACCAUUUAUGAACCUCACAUCACAAAGAUCCAUAUCUCCAGAGGUUCUGAAGGAUACAUUUGGAUAAGCGGUGGAUUAUUCCAAAUGAACUUUCUUAUAAGGCUUCAUCUGACAUUUGUAAUUAUUAGUAGUCACAAUUAUGAAAAAAUUGGCUUACAGGCUUUAAAAAAUUUUUUUAAAUUAGGAAGGGAUCAUCUCACUGAGUUACCCAGAACAAAGUGAAAAUUUGUUUGAUUGUAUUGUGUAUGGAUACCAAACAAAAUUGCCUGAUUGUAUUGUAUAUAGAACUGGAAAACAUGCCAGGAAUGGAGGCAUUUAUGAACAAGCUACUUGUGUGCCUCUCUCUCAUUCCUGGUGUGUGCUUAUGGCAACUCAGCUUAUUUUUGGAUCUGCUCACGAUUUCUGCUUCUUUACAACAUUUGCUCUCUGUGACCCCACAUAGUCCCCAUUGUAUCCCAACCCUCUCAAAAUAGUUUUCCAGCUUUAUCUUCGAAUACAAAUUGCCUCAUUAUCUUGAUAUUUGCUAGAUCAAAUUUAAACAUCAAGGAGAGUAUGAUUAGACUAUUUGAGCUUUUUUUGUAUUAUGUCAUAUCGUAGGACUCUGCCUAUCUUAUGCAUCAGCCACCUUCAAAUUAUGUAGCUUCUAAUCAACGGUGGUCAGAAAGGAGAGGGCUAGUGGGGAAAACAAAAGCCUAAUGAUAGUUAUGUCUUAACCUGGGUUUGUAACUAUUCAUUCUGUUAUUUGUUCAACAACAUUUAUUAGGUGCCUACUAUGUUUCAGACAUUGUUCCAGGCUCUGAGUUACACCUGCGGUCAAAAUGGACAAAAUCUUGAUCCAGUUGAGGUGAAAUUGAAGAAGGGAGAAAUGCACAGCAAAGAAAUGGAUACAUAAAUAUUCAGUGUCUCAGGAGGUAAUAGGUCUUCUGGGAGAAAUACAAAGCAGGAUAUAACGGAAAUGUGAUAGGGCUGCUAUUAAUACUAUUGCUAAAUUAAUUAGAGAAGACUUCUCUGAUAAGGUGAUAUUUGAAAAGAUGCAUUAAGGUUGAGAUGGAGGAAGCCAUAUAACUAUCUGGGAGAAUGGUGUUCUAGGUGUCCUGUGAUGUCAGCACGCUUUGGAAAGUUUGGGGAACAGCCAAGGAUGACAAUGUUACUGUAGCAGAGAGCAGCAGGAGAAUGAUAAAAAAUGAGGUCUAUAAGGGAGUGAAAUUUUAGGCCACAGAAAGGACUUUGAAUCUUACUUUUUUAGUUGAAAAUUCGUUUGAGCAUUUGAGCAAAGUAGUGAUAUCAACUGAUUUAUGUUUUUAAGGAAACAUUAUGAGGGCUGGCUGUGGAAUAUUUAGUAAAAUGACAAGAAUGAGAAGAGGGAAUUUCUCUUUAAAGUAGCUGUGGAUAAUGCAGGCAAAAUGAUUGAUGUCUAUUUCAAUUACACAGAUAGUUUGAAUGAUUGACUCCAGCAUACAAAGUAAAACAAUCUACUGUAUUUAGUAUUUAUAGUGUAAACAAAAUACUCUCCGAUUUUUUAGUAAUUCAUAUUUUAGGAGGAUAUUAAUAAUAACCAUAAAUAUUUAUAUUCAUGGAGAGUGUUUCUUAUAUUCUUAUGAAGCUCAAAAUUUACUAUCAUCAGUUAGUUCCUUUUACUAAUGCAUUAUGAAGAGUUCUGUGUGCACUCCCAGUAUGACCUAUUCAUUUCAUACUCAUUAAGAAAUUAAUGUUUUUCAAGCAAAUGUUACAAAUGAAUGUUUAAUUUAGUGGCAAUUAAGAAUGUAUAUUUACAGAACAUUUCUUAUUAAUUAACACAUGGCUAAACAUAGAAAAGUUUGACCUUCCACUGUAACUACUCACCUGACUCUGCAUUAUUUUCAAAACCACCGGAACUUGAUCCGACCUGGUCAUGUCUCCCUCUGCAAACACAUUCCUUCCUAAUGAGGUCCUACUCCCCAGGUGGUAUGCAGCAAAUUCAGUUCUUUGCAUUUUUCUGUACAGUCCAACACUUAAACAUCCAGCUGAUUCUGAGGAAGGCUUAAUAUCCAGAAGCAAUUCUGAUAAGCAGCUGUUAUAAAAUGCCUUCCCAUUCCUAUUUGAAAUGAGCAAAAUGAGGGACUUACCUCAAAAUCAGGUCUUUAGUACAAACAGUACAUGUUUAGAUGUACACAUGAGUGCUAGCCCUCAGAAUCACAAAUUAGAGGAAAAACUCCAUAUUUAUUUUACUAGCUUUUUCCCGCUUUUUUUCCUCCUUGGGCUUUUCUUCUCAUUAAAAGGCAAGAUUGACAUCAAAUAGUAGCAAACUAUGUUGUAAAAUUUUUACCAAACCAGUCAACUAGUUUCUGAAUGCGUGUGUUCAUCAAAGACUGGGGGAAUAAAACAGGUCACAGCCUGCUAUUGGAAGCUUAGCGAAAUCAUCUGUGUUCUUCUUCCUCAUCAUAAUUCCCCAAAGAAAAGAUUAUAAACAUAUUCUGCUCAUGUUAUACUUAAUCAAACAUUAAUUAAAUACAAUACCUAAGGCUCUGAGUCCCAACUGUAGACCAUAAUGGUUUUACAGUUCACUUCAACUCUUUAGGAUAAAUAGCCUGCCAUUAAAGGCACUAGCUGUGCUUACAAUUUUUUUUUAAAUUGUAGUCAUUUUGCUAAUUAUAGAGUCACGGAGAAAUAAGAGAUAGUUUUGUCUACUACUUUGUCAUCACUAAACAAUGUUUUCUGGGAUUUUGAAAUUGGUAUUUUGUUUGUUAUGCAUUAGCCAUGGAUAAGAGAAUUAAUAGGACCAUAGUUAUUUUCUCAUGAAUGUUAUGCAUUAAUGUUUUGAAAAGGUUAUUUGAGGAUGGGUACUUAAGAUUGUUAGAACUAGUAAGCAAUUAAUCAUUGCAGAUUUAUGCCAUAAUGUACUUAAGUAACAACAAGCUUUUUUUUUCUUAAAUGUUAAUUAAGUAUCCUCUCAAUUUAUACAACUCUACGAUGUUUCUAUACCACUCAUAUGGCCCAACUUGUAUUUAGGCUUACAACUAUUUUUUAUGAGAAUGAGUAAUGAUUUACAUCUUUUAUUUGUC
ensembl:lncRNA novel transcript